CAUGUGUGGAGAAGGAACCUUCUAACUAGCCUUUCACCAUCUUAGUUUUCAUCAAAACGUUUUUGUCAAAGUUUGUUUUCAAAGUUUCUGUUUUCAAAGUUAAAUUCGUCCAAAAUCAAUCCCCCUUUACUUAGUUGAGUCAUAGUAGUUAGAAAUCACUUUAGUUUGUGUUUUUAAGUGUCUUAGGUUAAGUUAAAACCAAUUUUCGUCCAAGUUUGUGUCUAGUGUUCAAAACUGCCCAGAUUGUGGUUUUAAGGCAGUUUUGAGUGUUUUUGGGCUGUUUUGAGUCUUUUGGUUUGUUUUGGUGUUUUAACGUUUAGUUUUGCAUUCUUUGAGUCUAGUUUAGUGUUUUAAACUUGUUUUUACGUAUUUGAGUCAGUUUUCAAGUGAUUUUGCAAUCCCUCCUAAUCCCCGGUUUAGAACGAUCCCUACUUACAUACUUUGCUACAAUUGAUAAAACGAUGGUUAAUUUGUGUGUCAACAUAAUUUUCACAUCAAAUUUUGGCGCCGUUGCCGGGGAUUAGUAAAGUUGCUAAUCCCUUGGUUUGUUUUAUUUCAAUUUGUUUUAUUUGUGUCCAGAUUCUUACUUUGUUUUUGUUUCUUGUUUUUAGGUACUAGUUUAUGACUCGGAGCUCUAAUCCGGUUCGUGAACACAUCUUGGACUUUAACGACGAUUUUGAACGAGAGUUGAGACGAAAGAGGAAGAAUCCAGAGUCUAGUGAAUCAAGUUCAAAUCCGGAAGCCGAAGUUGAGAUUGAGCAAGAGGAACCCACGGCACAAGUGGGUGAAGUUGAGACAGUCAUGGCACAAGACAAUCGUACAAUCAAGGAGCUCUCGGCCUCGGGAUUGGACAAUGCCGCACCUCUAUGUAUUCAAUAUCCGGCGGCUGCCCAAGGAAAGACCGAGGAAUUCGAGUUAAAGUCAAGUUUGCUCCACCAUAUUCCGAAGUACCAUGGGUUGUCCAUGGAGGAUCCUAACAAGCACUUAAAAGAAUUCGAGGUGGUGUGUUCAAGCAUGACUCCAAUCAAUGUCGACGGGAGUAUAUUGAAGAUGAAGGCUUUUCCCUUUUCUCUCAUGGAAAAGGCGAAAGAUUGGUUGUAUGAAUUAGCUCCUGGAACGGUCACAUCUUGGGAGAGCAUGAAACGAGCUUUCUUGGAGAAGUUUUUCCCAACUUCUCGAGUCAUCCUCCUACGAAAAAGGAUAAGGGGAAUUCAACAAGAAGAAGGUGAGUCUUUUCCUACAUAUUAUGAACGGUUUAAAUCUCUUGUUGCUUCUUGUCCACAGCAUCAAAUGAAGGAGGAGCUUCUGCUACAAUACUUCUACGAGGGACCUCUACCAAUCGAACGACAAAUGCUAGAUGCUUCGACGGGAGGAGCUUUGGUGGACAAGACCCCCACGGCAGCAAAGACUUUGAUUGCCAAUCGAGCGUUGAACGCUCAACAAUACGAAGGUGUUGGACAAAGAGGCACCCCACGGCAACACCAAGUGAAUGAGGUAAGUGCCAUAACCGAACUUCAAAAUCAAAUGGCUAACCUUACUACUUUGCUUUCUCAGGUUGUGGAAGGGCCAAAAGUUCAAAAUGUAAGUGCGUGUGGCGUAUGUUCCAUGCAAGGACACCCUACGGACAAGUGCCCACAAUUGAUUGAGAAUGGAGGGUGGGAGACCCUAAAUGCCGUGGGCUUUGGGCAGCAAUACCAACAAAGGAAUGAUCCCUUUUCUAACACCUACAAUCCCGGUUGGCGUGAUCAUCCAAAUUUCAAAUGGCGAGAACCCCAACAAGGCCAACAACAAAGCACGUUUAGGCGACAACCCCCGGGUUUCUAUCAAAAGCCGUUUGCACCAAAUCAAACCCAAGCACAACCCGCCCAAAAAUCAGGUUCUUUUAUUGAUAAUGAUCAAAUUUUUAAUUUACUAACUUCUAUGGCGCAGGGCAUGCAGACUAGGGACAAGAAGGUGGACGAGUUGGAGAAGCAAGUGGGCAAAUUGCUGAGUUUAUGGGACAGUUUUGAGACCAAGGAAGACUCCCUAGUUCAACCGUUGCAAAUCCAAAAGGGGGAUUCGAAACCGCCAAAGCAAUUACAUUGAGGAGUGGGAAACAAGUUGGAACUGAACCCCAAGCAUCCAAAGCAAGUCAUGAAGAGGAUGAAAAGUUGCAGUUUGAGGAGAACACACAAGCAAAACCCACGGCAAGGAGGGAACCACCUUUGCCGCAGCCAUCUUGCACUUCCAACCCAUAUAAUUCGGCCAAGGUAAGCUCAAAACCGAAUUCUUCUAGUUCUAUUCCACUAAACGUGCCUUUUCCUAGCAGGUUGAAGCAAUCCAAGAAGGAAGAGACCGAGAAAGACAUUUUGGAGACGUUUCGGAAAGUGCAAGUCAAUAUACCUCUUCUUGACGCCAUUAAGCAAGUACCAAGGUACGCCAAGUUUUUGAAGGAACUAUGCACAACAAGAAGGAGAAUUUCGAACAAAGAGGUGGUCCAGGUAAGUGAGAAUGUUUCCGCUGUUUUGCAAAGAAAACUACCCCCUAAAUGCAAAGAUCCGGGUAGUUUUACAAUUCCAUGCGUUAUAGGCAAUACUAAAUUUGAACAUGCUAUGUUAGAUCUAGGAGCUUCAAUUAACAUCAUGCCAUACUCAAUAUAUGCAUCCAUGAACUUAGGAGAGCUUAAAAACGAUGGUGUUAUAAUUCAAUUAACUGAUCGUUCUAAUGCAUAUCCGAAAGGAGUUUUGGAAGAUGUGUUGGUGCAGGUGGAUAACUUGAUAUUUCCAGCGGAUUUCUAUGUUUUAGAGAUGGAGGACUCACCAAAUGUCACUCCAUUGCCGAUUCUACUUGGGAGGCCCUUCAUGAAAACAGCACGCACCAAGAUCGAUGUGUUCAAGGGGACGUUAACAAUGGAAUUUGAUGGGGAGAUUAUUAAUUUUAACAUUUCUGAAGCUAUGAAAUUUCCUAAAGAUGAUCAUUCUUGCUUUUCUAUUGAUAUAUUGGAUGAAUUGGCGCAGGAUUAUCUUGAUAUGUUGGAAGACGAUCCCCUUGAAACGACGAUUGCACAAGGACUUGGCAUGAAACCCAAUCUGGCCGUACCUAAGGAGGAGCAUGCUGAGCUUGUGGCUGCCUUGGAAUCAUUGCCCCAACAUCGGGGUAAGCCUUCUAACCCAAUUCCAAUUCCCGUUUCCACUAAUACGUUGUUAUCUUCUGUGAUUCAAGCCCCCGUUCUUGAGCUUAAACCGUUGCCGGAUCAUUUAAAGUAUGUAUUCUUGGGAGAUGAAGAGACGUUGCCCGUCAUUGUCUCUUCAUCACUCACGGCAGUAGAGGAAGAAAAGUUGAUUCGAGUGUUGAAAAAGCACAAAACAGCCAUUGGAUCAGAUUCUUAUGUUAUUUUGUUUCUUGUUUUAGGUACUUGUUUAUGACUCGGAGUUCUAAUCCGGUUCACGAACAUAUUUUAGACUUUGACGACGAUUUUGAGCGUGAGUUGAGACGAAAGAGGAAGAACCCGGAACCUAGUGAAUCAAGUGCAAGUUCCGAGUUCGUUUCUGAAUUUGAAGAGGAAGUGGAAGACAUGGCAGUGGACAACCGAACGAUCAAGGAGCUUUCCGCUUCGGGAUUGGAUAAUGCAGCACCUCUAUGUAUCCAAUACCCUAGGGCGGCUCCGGACAAAAAAACUGCAGAGAGUUCGAAUUGAAGUCAAGCUUGUUACAUCACAUUCCGAAGUACCAUGGGCUGUCCAUGGAAGAUCUGAACAAGCACUUGAAGGAGUUUGAAGUCGUUUGCUCAAGCAUGACUCCGGUGAACGUGGAUGAGAGCAUCUUGAAGAUGAAGGCCUUUCCCUUUUCUCUCCUAGAGAAGGCGAAAGAUUGGUUGUACGAAUUGGCUCCCGGAACUGUCACAUCAUGGGAGAGCAUGAAACGAGCUUUCUUGGAGAAGUUUUUCCCAACUUCUCGAGUCAUCCUCCUACGUAAAAGGAUAAAUGGCAUUCAACAAGAUGAAGGUGAAUCCUUUCCUACUUAUUAUGAACGUUUUAAAUCUCUUGUUGCUUCAUGUCCACAGCAUCAAAUGAAGGAGGAACUACUUCUACAAUACUUCUACGAGGGACUUCUACCAAUUGAACGUCAAAUGCUAGAUGCCUCCGCGGGAGGAGCAUUGGUGGACAAGACCCCUACGGCUGCAAAGAUGUUGAUUACUAAUCGAGCGUUGAACGCUCAACAUUACGAAGGUGUUGGACAAAGGAGCAUGCCACGGCAACAUCAAGUCAAUGAGGUAAGUGCCAUAACCGAACUUCAAAUCAAAUGGCUAACCUUACUACGUUGCUUUCUCAGGUGGUGGAAGGUCCAAAAGUCAAACCCGUAGCUUCUUGUGGCGUAUACUCCAUGCAAAACCACAAUACGGACAAGUGCCCACAAUUGAUCGAGAAUGGAGGGUGGGAGACACUCAAUGCCGUGGGAUAUGGCAACCAAUACCAAUCACGUGGUGAUCCGUUUUCCAAUACUUACAAUCCCGGUUGGCGUGAUCAUCCGAAUUUCA
rnacentral:lncRNA from 1 species